UGGGGAAUAUUGGACAAUGGAGGAAACUCUGAUCCAGCCAUGCCGCGUGAGUGAUGAAGGCCUUAGGGUUGUAAAGCUCUUUUACCAGGGAAGAUGAUGACGGUACCUGGAGAAUAAGCACCGGCUAACUUCGUGCCAGCAGCCGCGGUAAUACGAAGGGUGCUAGCGUUGUUCGGAAUCACUGGGCGUAAAGCGUGCGUAGGCGGCUAUACAAGUCAGAGGUGAAAGCCUGGAGCUUAACUCCAGAACUGCCUUUGAAACUGUAUGGCUAGAGUGUUGGAGGGGAUAGCGGAAUUUCUAAUGUAGCGGUGAAAUGCGUAGAUAUUAGAAGGAACACCGGCGGCGAAGGCGGCUAUCUGGACAACAACUGACGCUGAGGCACGAAAGCGUGGGGAUCAAACAGG
rnacentral:rRNA from 1 species